UCCCGCCGUUUUUGGCAAUGGUAGAACUCACACUGGUGAGGUAAUGGGAUCCGGUGGUUCUAGACUUGCCAACUAUGGUGCGAGG
rnacentral:pre_miRNA from 17 species